rnacentral:rRNA from 1 species
UACGUAGGGUGCGAGCGUUAAUCGGAAUUACUGGGCGUAAAGCGUGCGCAGGCGGUUUUGUAAGCCAGAUGUGAAAGCCCCGGGCUUAACCUGGGAAUGGCAUUUGGGACUGCAAGGCUUGAGUGCGGCAGAGGAGACUGGAAUUCCCGGUGUAGCAGUGAAAUGCGUAGAUAUCGGGAGGAACACCGGUGGCGAAGGCGGGUCUCUGGGCCGAUACUGACGCUGAGGAGCGAAAGCGUGGGGAGCGAACAGG